rnacentral:rRNA from 1 species
AGCAGCCGCGGUAAUUCCAGCUCCAAUAGCGUAUAUUAAAGUUGUUGCAGUUAAAAAGCUCGUAGUUGAACCUUGGGCCUGGCUGGCCGGUCCGCCUCACCGCGUGUACUGGUCCGGCCGGGCCUUUCCUUCUGGGGAACCGCAUGGCCUUCACUGGCCGUGUCGGGGAACCAGGACUUUUACUUUGAAAAAAUUAGAGUGUUCAAAGCAGGCCUUUGCUCGAAUACAUUAGCAUGGAAUAAUAGAAUAGGACGUGCGGUUCUAUUUUGUUGGUUUCUAGGACCGCCGUAAUGAUUAAUAGGGACAGUCGGGGGCAUCUGUAUUCAAUUGUCAGAGGUGAAAUUCUUGGAUUUAUUGAAGACAAACUACUGCGAAAGCAUUUGCCAAGGAUGUUUUCAUUAAUCAGUGAACGAAAGUUAGGGGAUCGAAGACGAUCAGAUACCGUCGUAGUCUUAACCAUAAACUAUGCCGACUAGGGAUCGGUGGGUGUUAUUAUUUUGACCCCAUCGGCACCUUACGAGAAAUCAAAGUUUUUGGGUUCUGGGGGGAGUAUGGUCGCAAGGCUGAAACUUAAAGAAAUUGACGGGAGGGCACCACCAGGCGUGGAGCCUGCGGCUUAAUUUGACUCAACACG